CAAAACAGCCCCCCAACUUCAGUGGUUGAGAGCCACUGAAUUUGACAAUGAGGCUGGGAGGAGAGAUGGCAUUUGAUACUCUGGGUCAUCCUAGGUCCUGCACCACCUGGGAGCUCAUCAGACUUGCAGACCCCUCACCCCACCUGAAGUGGGAUGCUGGUUUUCACAAGAUCGCUGUGUGAAUGUUUGAGAAUAUGGCCAGGGCACCGGUGUGGUGUCCCCUGGAAGCAGUUUUAUUGAAACAGCAAUUCACCAUCUGCAUCCAGACAACAUGAGAUCAGAGCCAGAGGUCAGUGUGGAAGGGACGUGAUGGUGGGCGGUGUCAGAACCUCCCAGACAAGGACCCAAGGUGGCUGGGUUCCUUACAGGAGAGCUCCACCAGAUGACUGCAGCUCAAGUACUCCUGAAGUUCGGCCUUUGCUGCUGCGUAGAAUAAACCACAUCUCCAGCUGACACAGCAGCUUUACCGGAAAUCCCAGGAACUUCUGGAGCUCUGUGCCAGAGAUGAAGACAAAUACCAAAUACAUAGUUCUUGUAAAUCGUAAUAUCACAAAGCAACUGACAGGAUGAAGUUUGCAAUGUCUGGCAUCCAAUACAAAAUUUCCAAGUAUGCAAAGAAGCAGGAAAACACAAUUCAGAAGUCAUGGCCAAGUAGAAAAAUACAAUUCUAACAAGGCGGGGGUGGGGGGGAAUCCAUCAUUCAAAGCAUGGCAAGAAAUGACACAGAUGGUAGUAUUAGGAGAUGGGCUAUGAAGAUGGUUAUUGCAUUCUGCUCGGGACGCUGGAGGGAAUAUCAGAGACACAGGAGCUGUAAGAAUGUCAGAUGUGUUAAGUAGAGACACAGAAGCUAUAAUUAAGACCUAAGUCAA